CGUUAUGGGCGGAGCCGUGUGUGGGAGCCUUCGGGCUCACCGGACCUUCUGACCGGCAACGCCAACCCGCACGGCUCCGUCCACCCAU
ncrna:Pseudomonas entomophila L48 C4 antisense RNA